rnacentral:rRNA from 1 species
AGUGAACGCUGGCGGUAUGCCUAACACAUGCAAGUCGAACGGCAGCACAGUAAGAGCUUGCUCUUACGGGUGGCGAGUGGCGGACGGGUGAGGAAUACAUCGGAAUCUACUUUUUCGUGGGGGAUAACGUAGGGAAACUUACGCUAAUACCGCAUACGGCCUACGGGUGAAAGCAGGGGAUCUUCGGACCUUUCGCGAUUGAAUGAGCCGAUGUCGGAUUAGCUAGUUGGCGGGGUAAAGGCCCACCAAGGCGACGAUCCGUAGCUGGUCUGAGAGGAUGAUCAGCCACACUGGAACUGAGACACGGUCCAGACUCCUACGGGAGGCAGCAGUGGGGAAUAUUGGGCAAUGGGCGAAAGCCUGAUCCAGCCAUACCGCGUGGGUGAAGAAGGCCUUCGGGUUGUAAAGCCCUUUUGUUGGGAAAGAAAAAAAGCAGGUUAAUACCCCGCUGUUCUGACGGUACCCAAAGAAUAAGCACCGGCUAACUUCGUG